rnacentral:snoRNA from 1 species
AACCCAUGGUGAGGGCACCUUCUCAAUAAGUCCUUGUAUCUCUCCCAUGCAUCGUAAAUGCACAAAAGAAGAGAUAUCAUUACGCAAUUU